ensembl:lncRNA
CUGGGAUCCAUGUCAUCUGGAGGGGUCGAAUGAACGCUCCUCCCCACCCCAGGAGAUGCAUCCCACUGUUUCAUUAUGGUGGCCUCCAGGGAGGGGAAAUCUGCUACCCCUUGGGUUGACAGUGGACUCCGGGUCGGAAGUCCAUCGGCAACGCAGGGGAGGGGCCCAGGCAGGCACACUGGCGACCAGGUUACUCCCUGCAGGGACCAAGGUUGCAGGGCCUCUUGUGUCAGGACCCACCCCUUGGAUUUCUGGUGCAUCUUCUUUGGCCUGGUGAUCAUAUCCUGAUAAAGACCUGGAAGGAAGACAAACUUGAGCCGCCUGGGAAGGACCUUACCAGAUGCUGCUGACAACUGAAACAGCUGUUUGCACUGCAGAGAAAGGUUGGACUCAUUACAUGCAAGUCAAAGGGACUGAAUCCCCUAAUCAAGAGGAGCAACGGUCCGUGGUCCAACAUCCCAAUCCUACACAGCUGACUUCGAAAAGACUUUAAUACCCGUCUUGGUCAUUCUGUAUACCAAGAUGCAGAUUGUUGGGGGCAGCCCUUACCUGAUCAACUUAAUUAUUAAUGUGACCACAAGCAGAGAUCCCCUAACUGUGAAAUCUGAUGCUUGCCAGGUCUUCCCUUGUGAUAACCUACACAGCUAUCUAUAGAACAUAAGUACCUUUGUCCUGAACCAGUAUGGGGCAUGUCAGGAAAUGAUCCACACCAACUCCCCUGCUCUAGUUGGGCCAAAGUAUGGUGGAUUACCCAGAAUGGGGGUUAUACGGCUGAGCCACUUAAAGCAGCUCUCACCCUAGCGGAACUAAAAGAUAGAUUAUCCCUGACAAGGAGGGGUACCCAGAGAUGAUUGUGGGAAUCUACAACAUAACCCACUCCUAUUAAUGACGAAACCAGGGAAAACCAGUCCAUCUCUUGAGCAUUGGUAUGGACUGUGCUGUGCUUAGUUGCUCAGUCUUGUCUGACUCUUUGCAACCCCAUGGACUAUAGCCCACCAGGCUCCUCUGUUCAUGGGGAUUCUCCAGGCAAGAAUACUGUAGUGGGUUGCUAUGCCCUCCUCCAGGGGAUCUUCCCAACCCAGAGAUUGCAGGCAGAUUCUUUACUGUCUGAGCCACCAGGGAAGCCCUGGUAUGGGCUAGGGGCAGACAUAUCUGGGAGAGAUCCACUGGGAAGAUUAACUAUUAAAUUUGUUAAAAAUUACCUUCUAAUUAGUGCCACAGAUGCAAAACUUCUGAAACAAUUCAACCCCCAGUUCCCAAUGACCCUACUAAGGUCACCAUGGUAGAGGUGAAGGAUUUACACCAAACCACAGAGAUCAAGACUGGAUAUGGGAAAACAAAUGCCUGGUUGGAAUGGAUUAAAUAUUCUGUCCAAGCCUUAAACAAGAGCAGUUGUUACACUUUCAUGGCAGCUUCCUUCUUAGGAAACCCAGGCCAUUUUGUAGUCUCUAAGUCCUGUGCCUGAAGAAUGAUGGAUGGAGGUUCAUGACAUUGUACAGGAGGUGGUGAUCAAAACCAUCCCCAAGAAGAAGAAAUGCAAAAAAGCAAAAUGGUUGUCUUAGGAGGCCUUACAAAUAGCUGAGAAAAGAAGAGAAGCAAAAGGCAAAGGAGAAAAGGAAAGAUAUACCCAGCUAAAUGCAGAGUUCCAAAGAAUAGCAAGGAGAGAUAAGAAAGCCUUCCUCAGUGAUCAAUGCAAAGAAAUAGAGGAAAACAAUAGAAUGGGAAAAACUAGAGAUCUCAUCAAGAAAAUUAGAGAUACCAAGGGAACAUUUCAUGCAAAGGUGGGCACAAUAAAUGACAUAAAUGGUAUAGACCUAACAGAAGCA